rnacentral:lncRNA from 1 species
CUCUACAGAAGUCUUUUUCCUACUUUUUUCCAUCAUUCACUCACUUUUAAGAGGUUGAUGCCUUCUGUGUCUCUUGGAUUCCCCCAUUUCCUAGUUUAAGUAUUUCCCUAUGCCCUCACAUGAGUCCAUUUGGAUUAAACAUAACCCAUGUUUCCUGUACAGGUUCUUCAAAUCCCAGAAAGUUCCCCAGAUUUUUAAGCAUUUUUAAGUCCCUCUUCCCAAGGCCACCACCUCAUCCCUAACGAGACUCUAGAUCUCCAUGUGCCUUUGAGGAUUCAUGUUUAACAGUUCUGUGGAGAAUGCUAGGACGGAGGUAGUAGCACCUUGAAUACAGCUAUCAGAACUGCUUUUCAGCUAUUGAUACCAAUGGACCUAAAACGCUGGAUCUUGUGUUGGAUAUCUGUACAAUUUACCUUCUGAGGUCUAAGAUUCCUCUAUUUCCGUCCAAUAGAAAGUGAGUUCCAUAGUAAGAGAGGACCAUGUGGUCUUCUUACGUCACAAACACAGAUGUCCCUGUACCUUACAACUGAAUCUCAUCUUCCUGCUGCUUCCUGUCCCUGAAGAUCUGCUGUACCACAGCACCAACAUCCUAAGUGCUGAGGGAACCAGAUGGACCUGACUACAGCAGCCUUCCACUGAUCAUCAUCUCUCCCAAACACUUUUCUGCACAUAUUUACACAUGACCUCAUGAAGUGACAAAGAUGUCUUCCUCUAGAAGAUGUCAUCCUCCGCAAAAUGGUGUCAGCUGUUGUCCUAGCACCAGUAUGAUACUGGCCAUAUUCUGUAAAUCUUAUGAAGACCUUCAGAAGUUCUUUGAUGCACUACAGUCACUGUCCUUGUUGGUCUAAUAUGCAGGUAUUUCUCAGUUACAGUGGGUGAAUCAUUUCCUUCAUCUCCCACCCCAUGUACAGUUUGACAACUGGAAACAAUGGCUGCUAAAUGAAAAUUUUUAGCCAUCAUCUCAACAUCAUAGAGGUUUCCCAUUACUGAUCUGAAUAGAGUCAGGAUAAGCCUGCUGCCCAUACAGACUGCUUGGUCUCCCAUGACACUGAAGAAAAACUUCAAGUAAUGCACAUGAAAGAUAAAAGAAAUUGUUCAAUACAUGCAAAACUAACAAAAAUGACAUCAGCUGCAAAAAGAUCUCAGAAUUUUCAUUUCUUCAGAGAUUAGACUGGUAUAUCUGUUGUAAUAAGAAAUUUUUACAUCAACAUCAGAAAUAAAUAUCUUAGUCAUUAAAUGCA